rnacentral:rRNA from 1 species
UACGUAGGGUGCGAGCGUUAAUCGGAAUUACUGGGCGUAAAGCGUGCGCAGGCGGUUCUCCAAGUCCGUUGUGAAAGCCCCGGGCUCAACCUGGGAAUGGCAGUGGAAACUAGGGGACUUGAAUCUGGCCGAGGGGGGUGGAAUUCCACGUGUAGCAGUGAAAUGCGUAGAUAUCUGGAGGAACACCGGUGGCGAAGGCGGCAUCCUGGACCGGCAUUGACGCUGAGGCGCGAAAGCCAGGGGAGCAAACGGG